rnacentral:ncRNA from 1 species
UUUUUGGAGAGUUUGAUCCCGGCUCAGGAUAAACGCUGGCGGUGUGCUUUAUGCAUGCAAGUCGUACGCUCUUCGCAAGGAGAGAGUGGCGAACGGGUGAGUAACGCGUUAGUAACCUGUCCUUAAGUGGGGAACAACUCGCCGAAAGGCGAGCUAAUACCGCAUGUGGCCCUUAUCGUAAGGG